rnacentral:rRNA from 1 species
GGACUGUAGUCUGCAACCCGACUACACGAAGCCGGAAUCGCUAGUAAUCGCGAAUCAGAAUGUCGCGGUGAAUACGUUCCCGGGUCUUGUACACACCGCCCGUCACACCAUGGGAGUCGGAAAUGCCCGAAGUCAGUGACCUAACCGAAAGGAGGGAGCUGCCGAAGGUGGAGCCGGUAACUGGGGUGAAGUCGUAACAAGGUACC